GGGAAAAGGAUUUAUUCGCUUUAGGAUGGACUCGCGUCCAAUUAGCUAGUUGGUGAGGUAACGGCCCACCAAGGCGACGAUUGGUAGCCGGACUGAGAGGUUGAACGGCCACAUUGGGACUGAGACACGGCCCAGACUCCUACGGGAGGCAGCAGUGGGGGAUAUUGCACAAUGGGGGAAACCCUGAUGCAGCGACGCCGCGUGGAGGAAGAAGGUUUUCGGAUUGUAAACUCCUGUCGUUAGGGACGAUAAUGACGGUACCUAACAAGAAAGCACCGGCUAACUACGUGCCAGCAGCCGCGGUAAAACGUAGGGUGCAAGCGUUGUCCGGAAUUACUGGGUGUAAAGGGAGCGCAGGCGGGAAGACAAGUUGGAAGUGAAAACCAUGGGCUCAACCCAUGAAUUGCUUUCAAAACUGUUUUUCUUGAGUAGUGCAGAGGUAGAUGGAAUUCCCGGUGUAGCGGUGGAAUGCGUAGAUAUCGGGAGGAACACCAGUGGCGAAGGCGGUCUACUGGGCACCAACUGACGCUGAGGCUCGAAAGCAUGGGUAGCAAACAGGAUUAGAUACCCUGGUAGUCCAUGCCGUAAACGAUGAUUACUAGGUGUUGGGGGAUUGACCCCCUCAGUGCCG
rnacentral:rRNA from 1 species